rnacentral:tRNA from 1 species
GGGGAUUUAGCUCAGCAGCACAAGCACCUGCCUUGCAAGCAGGCGGUUGUGAGUUCAAUCCCCU